UUUCCAGACUCCUACGGGAGGCAGCAGUGGGGGAUAUUGCACGAUGGGGGGAACCCUGAUGCAGCGACGCCGCGUGGGUGAAGAAGCGCCUCGGCGCGUAAAGCCCUGUCAGCAGGGAAGAAAAUGACGGUACCUGAAGAAGAAGCCCCGGCUAACUACGUGCCAGCAGCCGCGGUAAUACGUAGGGGGCAAGCGUUGUCCGGAUUUACUGGGUGUAAAGGGCGUGUAGCCGGGUUGACAAGUCAGAUGUGAAAUCCUGCGGCUUAACCGCAGAACUGCAUUUGAAACUGUUGAUCUUGAGUACUGGAGAGGCAGACGGAAUUCCUAGUGUAGCGGUGAAAUGCGUAGAUAUUAGGAGGAACACCAGUGGCGAAGGCGGUCUGCUGGACAGCAACUGACGGUGAGGCGCGAAAGCGUGGGGAGCAAACAGGAUUAGAUACCCCCGUAC
rnacentral:rRNA from 1 species